AUUGAACGCUGGCGGCAUGCUUUACACAUGCAAGUCGAACGGCAGCGCGGGCUUCGGCCUGGCGGCGAGUGGCGCACGGGUGUGUAAUACAUCGGAACGUGCCCAGUAGUGGGGGAUAGCCCGUCGAAAGCCGGAUUAAUACCGCAUACGACCUGCUGGUGCAAGCGGGGGGCCGAAAGGACUCGCGCUCUUGGAGCGGCCGAUGUCGGAUUUGCUAGUUGGUGGGGGAAAGAGUUACCAAGCCGACGAUCCGUAGCUGGUCUGAGAGGACGACCAGCCACAUGGGGACUGGGACACGGACCAGACGCCUACGGGAGGCAGCAGUGGGGAAUUGUGGGCAAUGGGGGCAACCCUGAUCCAGCCAUGCCGCGUGCGGGAAGAAGACCUUCGGGUUGUAAACCGCUUUUUUUCGGGAAGAAAUCCUCUGGCCUAAUACGCCGGGGGGAUGACGGUACCGGAAGAAGAAGCACCGGCUAACUACGUG
rnacentral:rRNA from 1 species